GUUCGUUCGUUUGUUCUAAAAAUGUCUGGCUUGAAUUUCGAUAUUUAUCUAAAUUUUUAAUCAAAUUUGUCUCGAUCUUGUUCAUCAUCAUGAUCGUCACACACAAACGAAGAAGAAAAAGAAGAAAUUCAAAGUCAAACAUCUUUUAUCCAUCCAUUCAUCUCCAUGAUAACACCACCGAAACAUAAUAAUCAAUCAAUGUCCAUCACCCCCCUCUGAAUACAAAUGAAGAUCAAUUCCUUACUGGAUAUUAAUCAAGCUAAAUCAAGUAAAAGGAACAUAAAAAAAUGUAGCGGCAAUAGCGAACAUUACGACCGAAAAAAAAGGU